rnacentral:tRNA from 1 species
CGCGGGAUAGAGCAGUGACGGCUCGUCAGGCUCAUAACCCGGAUGUCGUCGGUUUGAAUCCAACUCCCGCUACCA